rnacentral:rRNA from 1 species
UUAAACAUGAGAGUUUGAUCCUGGCUCAGGAUGAACGCUGGCGGCGUGCCUAACACAUGCAAGUCGAACGGAGUUUAUAUUAUGAAGUCUUCGGAUGAAUUGAUAUAAACUUAGUGGCGGACGGGUGAGUAACGCGUGGGUAACCUGCCUCAUACAGGGGGAUAACAGCCGGAAACGGUUGCUAAAACCGCAUAAGCGCACAGCAGCGCAUGCUGCAGUGUGAAAAUAUUUUAUAGGUAUGAGAUGGGCCCGCGUCUGAUUAGCUAGUUGGUGAGGUAACUGCUCACCAAGGCGACGAUCAGUAGCCGGCUUGAGAGAGUGACCGGCCACAUUGGGACUGAGACACGGCCCAAACUCCUACGGGAGGC